rnacentral:lncRNA from 1 species
CAGGGGCAUGAGAUGCUCAGAGGCCUGGUCCUCUGGCUGGUGGAGACUUGGAGGCAGUAGUGAAGAUCCCUGGAAGAGGGAGGCCGUGAAGAGGGAUGCAGAUACCUGGCAAGCCCACCUCCCUUCUAUGCCACCUGCCAGCCUUCUCUGACAUUCCCAAACCAGGGACCAACACCGCCAAUCAGGGAAGAUUUACACGCAUUUAAUUAAGAACCAGUUCAAGUCUCUGGAGGCUGGAUGUCCAGCCCUCACCCUGGCACAGUGGGCUGUGGGCUCUGCGGUCCAGUUGCUAGUCAGGAGACGUCCUGGUGGCCCCUGAUUCAUGUUCACGUUCACAUCACUGUUCCUGCAGUUCUCUGCACAUUCACCUUGGUAUUAGCUCUCCUUGCCCCUGGUCCAGCAUACCUCUUCAGCUUCCAAGUAUGGGUCACCUUCCUUAUGUAAAUUUCCUCUUGGGACUGUAUUUUCUUUUAAAUAAAAAUUGGCCUUGUCUGAGAACUCCUGCACUGCUCAGAUGUCAGUCUCUAAAUUCCUAACACAAAUGAACAGAAGACAAAAUCAUUUGCAGGAUUCUGAAAUGAAGUUUUUCAGCGGAACACAGAGAAACAGUUAAAUUUUGCAAAGCUGUGAAACUGGAGAGGGGGCUGUCCUCCGAAUCUACCAACCAGAGACCUGGAAGGAAUUACUUGCAUGAGAUUCAUUUCUCUCUGUCUUUCUCUUUCUCCCCUCUCCCCGCCUAUCUGCACCACUUGAAUGGAUUUUCUAACCUGCCCCACUCCAAAUUGAUCAGUUAAUUAAGUUGAUCUCUACAAGACUGUUAAAGAACCAGGUCUUUUUCCUUUCAUGUUAUGCAGUUCCAAGUAAACU